AUUUCUUUCCGUGCCGGUAUCCGGGGUCAGAUCUCAGAUCGCUCCUCGGUCGGAACGAAGCCUCGAGACGAACCAACCGACGCACGUACCCCGUGGCCACUGACAACAUGGGCCAGCGAAGGGGCCGGACCCAUCUGCAGCCGCUGGUUUCGGCUGGAGCCGUGUUCUGCUCACGUACAGGCAGUUUUUUAAUGCCUCGUUUCUCUUUCCCCCCUUCCCUUAUCUUCUGCCUCUCGCUCCAUCCAGGUCCUAUGCGGAUCUCAUGAACGAACGAACCCUAGACUAUUUCCGCGUGAUCUUCUCAAGCAGAUCUCUCUCGGCCCGGGAGGGGGCGCGGCAAUUGCUCGAGGAUCAUUCGUUCCCUUUUUGGUGCAUAAAUAAAGGUAAAUAAAGGAUGGGGUGUAGCUUCGCUUCCGUUCGUUGGCAUGUUGAGCUUUUGUGCAGCGGUAGAGCUCCUCAUUGGCCCGUCGGUCACCCAAUAUUUGUGAUGGAUCUAUAAAGAUGAAAACUUUUGCCGAGUAGCCCCGCGUCAAUUUGUACAUGGAGAAGUGCCGACAAAAAGGAGGACCCUUCCCUCAUGACAAGGUUUCCUAAAAAAGUUUGUUGAUACCCUGUGAUCAAAAGAAGACUCGUUAUGGUUGCUAGGCUGACCAUGACUCAGAGUUUGAAGUCCACCAGGCAAAGGGAUGUGCAAGAGCUAAUGGACAUUGUGCUGCGCUCACUUGCGGGAGGCGUGGUUGAUGGUGACGGGCGUCGCCCCUGCCCCGCCGGAGGAGAAGGAUGUGGCCGCGGCGCGGGGCUCCGUCGACGAGAACUCGCGGAUCAUCAGGGAUGGCAACUCUUCCCGGAGCAUCUCGGCGUCCUUGAAAGGGUCCAGCGACGCGAUGUAGUCGAGCUCGGCGCCGGAGAAUGGUCGUGAAGACUGCAGCCAGUGCAGCCAUGCGGCGCACGGAGGUCGCGGAGAACUGCACGGGCUGGCGUGCUCCUCCGGGAGGGAUGCAGUCUGUCGAGCUGCACGGGCUGGAGACGCGCUGCGGGGCAGGCGCGGGGGACGCGCUGCUCGCCAGGCUCGAGGCCGGACUGCGCCAGCGCGCUGGCGACCCCGACGCGCGCGUGGCCGACUUCUUCGACGUGGCUGCCGGCGUCGGUACACGGCCGUGGAGGUGCUGGCAUUCGUGGUUGGGCGCGUUGGGAAGGACUGUUCCACGGCGGGUGUGAGGAAAAGAGGAGAAAGAGUGAGGAAAGAGACUGACUUGUGGGGUUUUCGCAUGCAAAAGAUAGCGCCGACGCCCCCAGACGCCCCCCGGUAGGCUGGGUUUCGGGUGGGAUCGCUGGAUGAUUUUUGAGACAAAUCCGGCACAAAACAAUACCCUGAAAUACGACUGGGGCAUUUUUUUCCGCCGGUGCCCAAAAAGUUGUCCUGAGGGGACUCGUGGGGGACGGUUGGAGAUUCAUGUACAAUGACGACUUUAUCGAUUCAUGUACAAUCACGCACUAGCACGUGAGCAUGGCUUGAUUGAUCAGGGACACGAAGAAGAUUAGCAUGGGAAGAAAAAAAAAGGGGUCACCGGAAGAUAAAGAAGAAUAUGACAUGUGGGGCUGGUAUGUCAGUGAGAGUAGUCUGUGAUCCCGGUCGGGAUCAAUCUUUUCUGGGACAUGAAGAAGAUUAUAGCAUGGGAAGAAAAAGAAAAUGGGGUCACAGGAAGAUAAAGAAGAAUAUGACAUGUGGGGCUGGUAUGUCAGUGAGAGUAGUCUGUGAUCCCGGUCGGGAUCAAUCUUUUCUGGGUGUGCCAAACGUGUUCAGGUGUUGACCGGGACUAGAAAGUAUAUGGUGCCAAUUUCAGGGAUUUGAAGUUUAGGGUUUGAUUUUGACAAGCUGUACAAGUUCAAGGUUUAUUUCAGACUUUACCCGCUUGCAUAAAGCCAAGACAAAGGAAGCUUAAGAGCAUCACAGUGUUUAGAGGCAUCGACCUUCCUCAAAGCUUAGAACAUGGUAAAUAAUAUAGCCUACUGAUGGCCUUAA